rnacentral:snoRNA from 1 species
CACGCCCACGAAGUAAGUUGUGAAAUUGGAGGCAAAGAAAUGUAGACUUGGAGAAGUCUGGGGGCUAACUCCCCUCCCCUGCAGGCUCAAGAUCAACCAUCCCACAUAG